rnacentral:lncRNA from 12 species
AUCCUGAGAAAGCAAGUGGGAUUUUGUCCAUGGCCAGCAGAGCUUGCAGGAUUUCUCUGGAGGGCCUGGAACAGGAAUGCCCAGGACAUUUGAAGGGUUUUGGUGCCUGCUUUAGCAAUAUUGAGACCAUGCUUUUUCCCUGGAGAAUUCCUGAGGGCCUGCCAGAUACUUGGUCCCUUUUCCCAAGCUGGGCACAGAUGUGGAAUCCUCCUUGACUUCACCAUGAGAGAGCUUGAAAAAUUAAGUCCCAAAGUGAGAUGGCCCAAACCCAGCUUUAUUCUAGGUUGGCUUUACAUCCUCACAAAGGAUUUUUGGUCUUGCUGAGGUUGGGAUGGUUUUCU